rnacentral:rRNA from 1 species
AGUCGGGAAUUUUGCACAAUGGGCGAAAGCCUGAUCCAGCAACGCCGCGUGAGUGAAGAAGGCCCUCGGGUUGUAAAGCUCUUUUGUCCGUGAAGAAAUACCUCAUCUUAAAAUGCGUCCGGGGUGACGGUACCGGAAGAGUAAGCCCCGGCUAACUUCGUGCCAGCAGCCGCGGUAAUACGUAGGGGGCGAGCGUUGUUCGGAAUUAUUGGGCGUAAAGGGCGUGUAGGCGGUUUGUUAAGUCAGAGGUGAAAACCCGUGGCUCAACCCCGGGGUUGCCUUUGAAACUGGCGGGCUUGAGUGCUGUAGAGGGCAGUGGAAUUCCCGGUGUAGCAGUGAAAUGCGUAGAGAUCGGGAGGAACACCAGUGGCGAAGGCGGCUUCCUGGGGCGUAACUGACGCUGAGGCGCGAAAGCGUGGGGAGCAAACAGGAUUAGAUACCCUGGUAGUCCUCGCCCUAAACGAUGAGUACUAGGUGUGAGGGGUAUCGACCCCCUCAGUGCCGGAGUUAACGCAAUAAGCUCUCCGCCUGGGAGAC